rnacentral:rRNA from 1 species
CGCUGGCGGCACGCCUAACACAUGCAAGUCGAACGAAGUAGCAAUACUUAGUGGCAGACGGGUGAGUAACAUGUAGGUAUCUGCCCUUUGGCCUGGAAUAACACGAGGAAACUUGUGCUAAUACCGGAUAAGUCUUUACGGAGAAAGCUUUAUGCACCAUUGGAUGAGCCUGCACUUGAUUAGUUUGUUGGUGGGGUAAUGGCCUACCAAGACUGUGAUCAAUAGCUGAUUUGAGAGGAUGAUCAGCCACAUUGGGACUGAGACACGGCCCAAACUCCUACGGGAGGCAGCAGUGGGGAAUCUUGCACAAUGGAGGAAACUCUGAUGCAGCGAUGCCGCGUGAGUGAAGAAGGCCUUUGGGUUGUAAAGCUCUUUCGUCGGGGAAGAAAAUGACUGUACCCGAAUAAGAAGGUCCGGCUAACUUCGUGCCAGCAGCCGCGGUAAUACGAAGGGACCUAGCGUAGUUCGGAAUUACUGGGCUUAAAGAGUUCGUAGGUGGUUGAAAAAGUUGGUGGUGAAAUCCCAGAGCUUAACUCUGGAACUGCCAUCAAAACUUUUCAGCUAGAGUGUGAUAGAGGAAAGCAGAAUUUCUAGUGUAGAGGUGAAAUUCGUAGAUAUUAGAAAGAAUACCAAUUGCGAAGGCAGCUUUCUGGAUCACUACUGACGCUGAGGAACGAAAGCAUGGGUAGCGAAGAGGAUUAGAUACCCUCGUAGUCCAUGCCGUAAACGAUGUGUGUUAGACGUUGGAAAUUUAUUUUCAGUGUCGCAGCGAAAGCGAUAAACACACCGCCUGGGGAGUACG